rfam:Ictidomys tridecemlineatus contig063741, whole genome shotgun sequence.
GUUGUUGUGGCUCAGCGGUAGAACGCUCACCUUGCAUGUGAGAGGCCCUGGGUUAGAUCUUCAGCACCACA